GAUGGGUAGGGGAGCGUCGUGUGCCGGGUGAAGCAGCCGUGUAAGCGAGUUGUGGAUGGUUCACGAGUGAGAAUGCAGGCAUGAGUAGCGAUACACACGUGGGAAACGUGUGCGCCGAUUGACUAAGGGUUCCUGGGUCAAGCUGAUCUGCCCAGGGUAAGUCGGGACCUAAGGCGAGGCCGACAGGCGUAGUCGAUGGACAACCGGUUGAUAUUCCGGUACCCGCUGUGAAGCGUCAGCGCUGAACCAGGCGAUGCUAAGUCCGUGAAGCCGCCCUGAUCUCUUCGGAGUUGAGGGGAGUGGUGGAGCCGAUAGUCCAGACCUGUAGUAGGUGAGUGAUGGGGUGACGCAGGAAGGUAGUCCAGCCCGGGCGGUGGUUGUCCCGGGGUAAGGGUGUAGCCCGAGGGGUAGGUAAAUCCGUCUCUCAUUAAGGGUGAGACCUGAUGCCGAGCCGAUUGUGGCGAAGUGGAUGAUCCUAUGCUGUCGAGAAAAGCCUCUAGCGAGUUUUAUGGCGGCCCGUACCCUAAACCGACUCAGGUGGUCAGGUAGAGAAUACCGAGGCGUUCGGGUGAACUAUGGUUAAGGAACUCGGCAAAAUGCCCCCGUAACUUCGGGAGAAGGGGGGCCAUUGCUGGUGAU
rnacentral:rRNA from 1 species